rnacentral:rRNA from 1 species
UACGUAGGGCGCAAGCGUUAUCCGGAAUUAUUGGGCGUAAAGAGCUCGUAGGCGGUUUGUCGCGUCUGCCGUGAAAGUCCGGGGCUCAACUCCGGAUCUGCGGUGGGUACGGGCAGACUAGAGUGAUGUAGGGGAGACUGGAAUUCCUGGUGUAGCGGUGAAAAUGCGCAGAUAUCAGGAGGAACACCGGUGGCGAAGGCGGAUCUCUGGGCCAAUUACUGACGCUGAGGAGCGAAAGCGUGGGGAGCGAACAGG